rnacentral:lncRNA from 1 species
GAAACAUGAUGAAUUAUUAAUAAAGAAAAUGGAAAAAGGAUUUAAAGGAAGGAAGUUCUGAAGAUUAUUUAAACCGUAAAGACUGUAAACAAAAAUCAAUGACAUUCGCUGCAAUUGACAAAGUUAAACCUUAGGUCCUGAUGAAGAGCUGUCUUGCUAUGGUAAGGAUUGGUGAACUGAACUAAGAUUUUGUUUUCUCUUUUGUGAAACGAGCGUUGUUUUUUCAAUGUAAAUAGGGAGUGAAUUCAUCGCAACUGGAGAAGGAAAUUGGUCAAGAAUUCCCUCCAAAUGAGAAGUAUUUUGGCCUUGUUAACGU